GACAGAGGCCUCGAGCGUUAGGCGGAAUCACUGGGCUUAAAGCGUGUGUAGGCGGAUCGUUAAGUACCUUGUGAAAUCCCACGGCUCAACCGUGGAACGGCUGGGUAUACUGGCGGUCUUGGGCCAUUCAGGGGCGACUGGAACAAGCGGUGGAGCGGUGAAAUGCGUAGAUAUCGGGAGGAACACCAGUGGCGAAGGCGAUCUUCUGGACGGAUACUGACGCUGAGGCGCGAAAGCUAGGGGAGCAAACGGG
rnacentral:rRNA from 1 species